AGAUUAAACUGAAGAGUUUGAUCCUGGCUCAGAUUGAACGCUGGCGGGAUGCUUUACACAUGCAAGUCGGACGGCAGCACGGGGCUUCGGCCUGGUGGCGAGUGGCGAACGGGUGAGUAAUGUAUCGGAACGUGCCCGGUAGCGGGGGAUAACUACGCGAAAGCGUGGCUAAUACCGCAUACGCCCUACGGGGGAAAGCGGGGGACCUUCGGGCCUCGCACUAUUGGAGCGGCCGAUAUCGGAUUAGCUAGUUGGUGGGGUAACGGCCUACCAAGGCGACGAUCCGUAGCUGGUUUGAGAGGACGACCAGUCACACUGGGACUGAGACACGGCCCAGACUCCUACGGGAGGCAGCAGUGGGGAAUUUUGGACAAUGGGGGCAACCCUGAUCCAGCCAUCCCGCGUGUGCGAUGAAGGCCUUCGGGUUGUAAAGCACUUUUGGCAGGAAAGAAACGGCACGGGCUAAUAUCCUGUGCAACUGACGGUACCUGCAGAAUAAGCACCGGCUAACUACGUGCCAGCAGCCGCGGUAAUACGUAGGGUGCAAGCGUUAAUCGGAAUUACUGGGCGUAAAGCGUGCGCAGGCGGUUCGGAAAGAAAGAUGUGAAAUCCCAGGGCUUAACCUUGGAACUGCAUUUUUAACUACCGAGCUAGAGUGUGUCAGAGGGAGGUGGAAUUCCGCGUGUAGCAGUGAAAUGCGUAGAUAUGCGGAGGAACACCGAUGGCGAAGGCAGCCUCCUGGGAUAACACUGACGCUCAUGCACGAAAGUGUGGGGAGCAAACAGGAUUAGAUACCCUGGUAGUCCACGCCCUAAACGAUGUCAACUAGCUGUUGGGGCCUUCGGGCCUUGGUAGCGCAGCUAACGCGUGAAGUUGACCGCCUGGGGAGUACGGUCGCAAGAUUAAAACUCAAAGGAAUUGACGGGGACCCGCACAAGCGGUGGAUGAUGUGGAUUAAUUCGAUGCAACGCGAAAAACCUUACCUACCCUUGACAUGUCUGGAAUCCCGAAGAGAUUUGGGAGUGCUCGCAAGAGAACCGGAACACAGGUGCUGCAUGGCUGUCGUCAGCUCGUGUCGUGAGAUGUUGGGUUAAGUCCCGCAACGAGCGCAACCCUUGUCAUUAGUUGCUACGAAAGGGCACUCUAAUGAGACUGCCGGUGACAAACCGGAGGAAGGUGGGGAUGACGUCAAGUCCUCAUGGCCCUUAUGGGUAGGGCUUCACACGUCAUACAAUGGUCGGGACAGAGGGUUGCCAACCCGCGAGGGGAGCCAAUCCCAGAAACCCGGUCGUAGUCCGGAUCGCAGUCUGCAACUCGACUGCGUGAAGUCGGAAUCGCUAGUAAUCGCGGAUCAGCAUGUCGCGGUGAAUACGUUCCCGGGUCUUGUACACACCGCCCGUCACACCAUGGGAGUGGGUUUUACCAGAAGUAGUUAGCCUAACCGCAAGGGGGGCGAUUACCACGGUAGGAUUCAUGACUGGGGUGAAGUCGUAACAAGGUAGCCGUAUCGGAAGGUGCGGCUGGAUCACCUCCUUU
rnacentral:rRNA from 1 species